rnacentral:rRNA from 1 species
AGAGUUUGAUCAUGGCUCAGAUUGAACGCUGGCGGCAGGCCUAACACAUGCAAGUCGAGCGGUAGCACAGAGAGCUUGCUCUCGGGUGACGAGCGGCGGACGGGUGAGUAAUGUCUGGGAAACUGCCUGAUGGAGGGGGAUAACUACUGGAAACGGUAGCUAAUACCGCAUAAUGUCGCAAGACCAAAGUGGGGGACCUUCGGGCCUCAUGCCAUCAGAUGUGCCCAGAUGGGAUUAGCUAGUAGGUGGGGUAACGGCUCACCUAGGCGACGAUCCCUAGCUGGUCUGAGAGGAUGACCAGCCACACUGGAACUGAGACACGGUCCAGACUCCUACGGGAGGCAGCAGUGGGGAAUAUUGCACAAUGGGCGCAAGCCUGAUGCAGCCAUGCCGCGUGUGUGAAGAAGGCCUUCGGGUUGUAAAGCACUUUCAGCGGGGAGGAAGGCGGUGAGGUUAAUAACCUCAUCGAUUGACGUUACCCGCAGAAGAAGCACCGGCUAACUCCGUGCCAGCAGCCGCGGUAAUACGGAGGGUGCAAGCGUUAAUCGGAAUUACUGGGCGUAAAGCGCACGCAGGCGGUCUGUCAAGUCGGAUGUGAAAUCCCCGGGCUUAACCUGGGAACUGCAUUCGAAACUGGCAGGCUAGAGUCUUGUAGAGGGGGGUAGAAUUCCAGGUGUAGCGGUGAAAUGCGUAGAGAUCUGGAGGAAUACCGGUGGCGAAGGCGGCCCCCUGGACAAAGACUGACGCUCAGGUGCGAAAGCGUGGGGAGCAAACAGGAUUAGAUACCCUGGUAGUCCACGCCGUAAACGAUGUCGAUUUGGAGGUUGUGCCCUUGAGGCGUGGCUUCCGGAGCUAACGCGUUAAAUCGACCGCCUGGGGAGUACGGCCGCAAGGUUAAAACUCAAAUGAAUUGACGGGGGCCCGCACAAGCGGUGGAGCAUGUGGUUUAAUUCGAUGCAACGCGAAGAACCUUACCUGGUCUUGACAUCCACAGAACUUUGCAGAGAUGGUUUGGUGCCUUCGGGAACUGUGAGACAGGUGCUGCAUGGCUGUCGUCAGCUCGUGUUGUGAAAUGUUGGGUUAAGUCCCGCAACGAGCGCAACCCUUAUCCUUUGUUGCCAGCGGUCCGGCCGGGAACUCAAAGGAGACUGCCAGUGAUAAACUGGAGGAAGGUGGGGAUGACGUCAAGUCAUCAUGGCCCUUACGACCAGGGCUACACACGUGCUACAAUGGCAUAUACAAAGAGAAGCGACCUCGCGAGAGCAAGCGGACCUCAUAAAGUAUGUCGUAGUCCGGAUUGGAGUCUGCAACUCGACUCCAUGAAGUCGGAAUCGCUAGUAAUCGUAGAUCAGAAUGCUACGGUGAAUACGUUCCCGGGCCUUGUACACACCGCCCGUCACACCAUGGGAGUGGGUUGCAAAAGAAGUAGGUAGCUUAACCUUCGGGAGGGCGCUUACCACUUUGUGAUUCAUGACUGGGGUGAAGUCGUAACAAGGUAACCGUAGGGGAACCUGCGGUUGGAUCACCU